rnacentral:rRNA from 1 species
AGGAUGUUGGCUUAGAAGCAGCCAUCAUUUAAAGAAAGCGUAAUAGCUCACUAGUCGAGUCGGCCUGCGCGGAAGAUGUAACGGGGCUAAGUAGUAAACCGAAGCUGCGGCAAUGCGAUUUAUCGUAUUGGGUAGGGGAGCGUUCUGUAAGCCGUUGAAGGUGUGUUGUAAAGCAUGCUGGAGGUAUCAGAAGUGCGAAUGCUGACAUGAGUAACGAUAAAGGAGGUGAAAAACCUCCUCGCCGGAAGACCAAGGGUUCCUGUCCAACGUUAAUCGGGGCAGGGUGAGUCGACCCCUAAGGCGAGGCCGAAAGGCGUAGUCGAUGGGAAACGGGUUAAUAUUCCCGUACUUCUUACAAUUGCGAUGGGGGGACGGAGAAGGCUAGGUGGGUCUGGCGACGGUUGUCCAGGUUCAAGUGCGUAGGCUUGAGAGUUAGGUAAAUCCGGCUCUCUUUAAGGCUGAGACACGACGUCGAGCCACUACGGUGGUGAAGUCAUUGAUGCCAUGCUUCCAGGAAAAGCCUCUAAGCUUCAGAUUGUAAGGAAUCGUACCCCAAACCGACACAGGUGGUCGGGUAGAGAAUACCAAGGCGCUUGAGAGAACUCGGGUGAAGGAACUAGGCAAAAUGGUACCGUAACUUCGGGAGAAGGUACGCUCUUGACGGUGAAGAGAUUUACUC